GAUCAGAUACCGCCCUAGUUCUGACCGUAAACGAUGCCAACUAGCGAUCCGCCAGUCGACUCAUCGCUCUGGUGGGGAGCUUCCCGGAAACGAAAGUCUUCCGGUUCCGGGGGAAGUAUGGUUGCAAAGCUGAAACUUAAAGGAAUUGACGGAAGGGCACCACCAGGAGUGGAGCCUGCGGCUUAAUUUGACUCAACACGGGGAAACUCACCCGGCCCGGACACCGUAAGGAUUGACAGAUUGAUAGCUUUUUCAUGAUUCGGUGGAUGGUGGUGCAUGGCCGUUCUUAGUUCGUGGAGCGAUUUGUCUGGUUUAUUCCGAUAACGAGCGAGACUCUGGCCUACUAAAUAGUUGACGCAUUGCCACUGUGCGCACAACUUCUUAGAGGGAUUUUCGGUGUUUUCAACCGCACGAAAUUGAGCAAUAACAGGUCUGUGAUGCCCUUAGAUGUCCGGGGCUGCACGCGCGCUACACUGGCAAACGCAACGUGCCUGUCCUGCCCCGAAAGGAGCGGGUAAACCCCUGAAAUUUUGCCGUGAUUGGGAUCGGACAUUGCAACUAUUGUCCGUGAACGAGGAAUUCCUUGUAGGGGCGAGUCAUCAACUCGUCCCGAAUACGUCCCUGCCCUUUGUA
rnacentral:rRNA from 1 species